rnacentral:misc_RNA from 1 species
GAAAUGCGAUAAGUAGUGUGAAUUGCAGAAUUCAGUGAAUCAUCGAAUCUUUGAACGCACAUUGCGCCCCUUGGUAUUCCAUGGGGCAUGCCUGUUCGAGCGUCAUUUGUACCCUCAAGCUCUGCUUGGUGUUGGGUGUUUGUCCUCUCCUCUGCGUUUGGACUCGCCUUAAAGCAAUUGGCAGCCAGUGUUUUGGUAUUGAAGCGCAGCACAUUUUGCGAUUCUAGCCGAUAAUACUUGCGUCCAUAAGCCUUUUUUAACUUUUGACCUCGGAUCAGGUAGGGAUACCCGCUGAACUUAA